GUGCUGACACGGUCUGCUUCGGUGUCUGCCACCGAGGAAACUUUGGGUCUCUGGAUGUACGCGGGGCUCUGGGCCUUCGGGCCGCCAGCUCUGGUCCCCGGUUCGGCCCUUGCCGCUGGAGCCGCCCGCCUGGGCCUGUGCGCCGGCUCCUGUGUGGUGUUGUCUGGCUGACCCGACUCGUGGUGCCACCUCCGGUCUCUGGGCGACCCGAGGGCGGCGGGGCGAGGCGCCGUGGGUCUUCUACCCUGUGCGCUCCCCGCUGCGGGCACCCGGUGAAGGCUGAGAUGCGACCCCCGCCCUGUGGGCUCCGUGCCACGUGUCAGGCGUUCUCGAACCUCCUGGGGUCGUGGGCCGCUCUCGCCUGAGGCGAGGUGGGGGGCGGAGGUUGCCGGUGAGGCUUAAAGCGGGCCCCUCUGGUGACUGUCCUCGCCGUGCCUUCCCCCUGCUCCACCUUGGCUCAUCCGAUCGAUGUGGUGUGGUCGUGCUCUCCCGGGCCGGGCCUAAGCCGUGCCAGACGAGGGACAGGUGUUCCCGGGGAACGUGUCUGCUCUUCUCGGUCUGUCCGCGGGGCCCCUCGCCUGACUUUUCCCCCCUGGCCGUCGGGGAGGGGGAGGAAGGCGGGGGCUGGGUUGCGGCCUCUGGCCCUGACCUUCGGUCUCCUGUCCCCCGCCUCGGGUGGCGUCAGUGGGGGCCGUGGGUCUUCUGACACAGCAGAUGCUCUCGCUUCGCCUUCCCGGCGUGUGCUCCGCGAGCGGCCCUCCCCGCGGUGGGGAGGGCUGUACCGCUGCUGCGCUGCGCCCCCCCCGCGCGGGUGCGCGAGCGUGCCUCGUUGGACCCUCGGUGGUGCCCCUGGAGCGCUCCAGGUCGUCGCUCAGGUGCCUGAGGCCGAGCGGUGGUGUCGUUUCCCUUAACCCCGGUGUCCUCCUCGGGUCCCCACCGCGGUGGUGUGUGUGUGUGUCCCGUGAGUGGGCUCUUUUGGGGGGGGGUCGAGGCGGUAGGAGAGGCGUGCCUGUUCCCCUCGUCGUCGAGGCUGACGGGUCGUCGAGGCCUUGCAGGGGACGGGACGCGGGCUCGGCGCUGGCCCCGGCCGCGCAGACGCUCCUGUGUUGGUGCUCCGCCUACCUGUACCGCAGACCCCUCCCACCCCAGCUGAGGACUGGUGGCUCGUGGAGCGCCUCCGUGGGCCCGAAGGAGAGAGACGAUCCGGGUGAGGGGCGGCGAGCCCUCGGUGAGAAAGCCUUCUCUAGCGAUCCGAGAGGGAGCCUUGGGGUAUCGGACCCCCCAGCUGCUGCCCCUCCUGAGUGCGCAGUGGCCGCCGUGGCGGCUGCCAAGAGCGCGUGGGCAGAACACCCCGCCCCGCACCUCCCCUCUGGGGGCGGUGGGGGGCGGGUGCGCCGGCCCCGCGGUGGGGCCGUGUGCCGCUCGUUGCCUACCGCGGCCCGCGCCUCCCCCCUUCGAGUUGGGGGAGGGUCCCGCUGGGCCCCGCCGGGCGUCCGGCAGGUGGGGGGGGACCGGAGCGUGCGUGCGCCGCGUGUGCGCGCGGUCGGCCCCCGCGGUGUGGUGAGCCUUGGGGCAAAGGGGGGGAAGGUGUUGGGGGCGCGACGUCCGGUCGGCCCCGGCUUCCCCAGCCCCGCAGCCGUGGUGCGGGAGAGCCUAUCGCGCCCGCCCUCUCCCCACGAGCCGCAGCCGGUGGCGGCGUGCGGUCACGGUCGGGGCCGCCUCGCUCGAGAGCGUGAUCCCCAGGAUGUCGAGCCUCGGGGUGGCAGACUUGGAUCGGAAGACGGAUCUGUCGAGGACGGGUGGCGGAAGAUGGGUUUGGGCGGCUCGCCGGCCCUGGCGGCGGGGCCGGGUCGUGGGGGCCCGCUCUGGGGCUGGCCGGGACCGGUCGGCGUCCCAGGCGUGUCGCGGGACCGCCCUCGUGUGUGGGUGGCGGUGGGACCCCGCGCUGGUUUUCCUGGUGGCCCGGCCGUGUUCCCGGUGUCUUUGUGGUCCCCGGAUGGCGCCCGCGGCCCUGUCCCGCGGCCCCCGCCGUGCGUGCUUGCCGGCCCCUCCCCGCCGCUGCCGGCCUCUCCUCCUCGUCCCGCGCGUGCGACCGCCCCGCGCUCCCUUCCCCUGUCUGGGGCCGAGCCGGCCUCGCCUCAUGUGGGUGUCGUU
rnacentral:lncRNA from 1 species